rnacentral:rRNA from 1 species
AAUGAACGUUGGCGGCGUGGAUUAGGCAUGCAAGUCGAGCGAGAACCCCGCAAGGGGGGACAGCGGCGAAAGGGACAGUAAUGUGUAGAUUAUCUGCCCUCAGGUCCGGGAUAGCUGCGGGAAACUGCAGGUAAUACCGGAUAACAUCUCCGGAUCAAAGGUGUGAUUCCGCCUGAGGAUGAGUCUGCAUCCUAUUAGCUAGUUGGUGGGGUAAUGGCCUACCAAGGCAUUGAUGGGUAGCAGGUGUGAGAGCACGACCUGCGUCAUUGGGACUGAGACACUGCCCAGACACCUACGGGUGGCUGCAGUCGAGAAUCUUCGGCAAUGGGCGCAAGCCUGACCGAGCGACGCCGCGUGUGGGAUGAGGGCCUUCGGGUUGUAAACCACUGUCAGAGGGGAUGAAAUGCAGGUGGGUUCUCCCAUCUGUUUGACAUAGCCUCAGAGGAAGGACGGGCUAAGUUCGUG